rnacentral:tRNA from 1 species
AGAUUGGCAAGAUCCGGCAUUAAUGCUGUGGACUUUUAAUCCAUAGGUUCCGGGUUCGAGUCCCGGGCGGCCUACCA